rnacentral:antisense_RNA from 1 species
UCUUUUCACUUUUAAAGGAGAGUUGCAGGAGGGGAAAUAGCCAAAAAACAAAACCCUGAGUCAAAAUAAUGUGAGUGGACUUUAAAGGUGACAAAUCUUCUCUAGUGUGAGAUUUCAAGAGACUUCUGGUGAGGAGGAAAUAUGAGUUUGGUCUGGAAGGCCUGAGCCAGGUGUGAGUCCAGAGAGACAUGGGGUUAGUAUGUAGAGAAACCAGGUUAAAAAAAAAUUUAGUGCUGCAGGUUUCUGAUUCCACUAACACAUCUAAAUAUGGCAAAAGAGCAAGUGAAUGUCUCACAAGGUUUUGAUGUAUAUUAUGGAUUUGGUUUUGCACAAGGAAACCAUCUCUGUCACCAGCUUUUAUUUCUAAGGAAAUGGAUUUUUGUGAAAACAUUUUCAAUUCCUGCUGGUGGCCUGAUAGAUACCAUCCUAAAAGCUUCCUUUAUCAGAGAAUUCCACAAAAAGUCUUGAGAAAAUGAACAAUGAAUCAGAAGAUUAAUCCAAGAUGUACAGUGGAGUUUGUCUACAGAGACACUGACAUGACUUCUGAAGCCAGGGGGCAUGCGAGCGCUCCCAGGCACGGUCCACCAAGUGCAG